rnacentral:tmRNA from 1 species
GGGACUGAAAGGAUUUCUACAUAUUAAUAUUUUAGUUAAUUUUUUAUUUAAUUGAUCAAAUUUAUUAAUAUUUUGUAUAUUUAACUAAUUUAUUAGCAUAAUGAAUAUUAAAUAUAUAAAUAAUAAUAGUAGUUUAAUUGCAAAACAUAACAUUAUCUUUUUUUCUAAAAAUUUAUCUGUAGCAUAAAUUAUUAGAAUCUUAAAUUUUAUUUUCUUGCUUCGAUUUAUGAAUUUACUGAAAGAAUGCUCUAAUUAUAAAAUAUAAUUACAUUUUGUAUUAUUAUUCAUUUUUUAAUUAGUAAAGUAUAAAGAAUUUAAAUUUAAAGUUUUAGUUAGAUAUUCAUGAAUUAAUUACUAUAUUUAUAUGGACGUGGGUUCAAAUCCCACCAGUUCCA